rnacentral:rRNA from 1 species
AACGAACGCUGGCGGCAGGCUUAACACAUGCAAGUCGAGCGCCCCGCAAGGGGAGCGGCAGACGGGUGAGUAACACGUGGGGAUCUGCCCAAUGGUACGGAGUAGCUCCGGGAAACUGGAAAUAAUACCGUAUGUGCCCGCAAGGGGAAAGAUUUAACGCCAUUGGAUGAACCCGCGUCGGAUUAGCUAGUUGGUUGGGUAAAGGCGAACCAAGGCGACGAUCCGUAGCUGGUCUGAGAGGAUGAUCAGCCACACUGGGACUGAGACACGGCCCAGACUCCUACGGGAGGCAGCAGUGUGGAAUAUUGGACAAUGGGCGCAAGCCUGAUCCAGCCAUGCCGCGUGAGUGAUGAAGGCCGUAGGGUUGUAAAGCUCUUUCGCCGACGAAGAUAAUGACGGUAGUCGGAGAAGAAGCCCCGGCUAACUUCGUGCCAGCAGCCGCAGUAACAC